rnacentral:rRNA from 1 species
CGGGGGAUUGCCUAGUACGGCGAGUGAAGCGGCAAAAGCUCAAAUUUGAAAUCUAGCACCUUCGGUGUUCGAGUUGUAAUUUGAAGAUGGUAACCUUGGGUUUGGCUCUUGUCUAUGUUCCUUGGAACAGGACGUCAUAGAGGGUGAGAAUCCCGUCUGAUGAGAUGCCCAUUCCUAUGUAAGGUGCUAUCGAAGAGUCGAGUUGUUUGGGAAUGCAGCUCUAAGUGGGUGGUAAAUUCCAUCUAAAGCUAAAUAUUGGCGAGAGACCGAUAGCGAACAAGUACAGUGAUGGAAAGAUGAAAAGAACUUUGAAAAGAGAGUGAAAAAGUACGUGAAAUUGUUGAAAGGGAAGGGCAUUAGAUCAGACUUGGUGUUUUACGAUUAUCUUCUCUUCUUGAGUUGUGCACUCGUAUUUCACUGGGCCAGCAUCGAUUCGGAUGGCAAGAUAAUGGCAGUUGAAUGUGGCUUCACUUCGGUGGAGUGUUAUAGCUUCUGCUGAUAUUGCCUGUCUGGAUCGAGGGCUGCGUCUUUUGACUAGGAUGCUGGCGUAAUGAUCUAAUGCCGCCCGUCUUAAACCCCGGGACCAAAAA